GACGAACGCUGGCGGCGUGCUUAACACAUGCAAGUCGAGCGAUGAAAUCCUUUCGGGGAUGGAUUAGCGGCGGACGGGUGAGUAACACGUGGGUAACCUGCCUCAUAGAGGGGAAUAGCCUUCCGAAAGGAAGAUUAAUACCGCAUAAGAUUGUAGCUUCGCAUGAAGCAGCAAUUAAAGGAGCAAUCCGCUAUGAGAUGGACCCGCGUCGCAUUAGCUAGUUGGUGAGGUAACGGCUCACCAAGGCGACGAUGCGUAGCCGACCUGAGAGGGUGAUCGGCCACAUUGGGACUGAGACACGGCCCAGACUCCUACGGGAGGCAGCAGUGGGGAAUAUUGCACAAUGGGGGAAACCCUGAUGCAGCAACGCCGCGUGAGUGAUGACGGUCUUCGGAUUGUAAAACUCUGUCUUCAGGGACGAUAAUGACGGUACCUGAGGAGGAAGCCACGGCUAACUACGUGCCAGCCGCCGCCGUAA
rnacentral:rRNA from 1 species